rnacentral:rRNA from 1 species
UACGAAGGGGGCUAGCGUUGCUCGGAAUCACUGGGCGUAAAGGGUGCGUAGGCGGGUCUUUAAGUCAGGGGUGAAAUCCUGGAGCUCAACUCCAGAACUGCCUUUGAUACUGAAGAUCUUGAGUUCGGGAGAGGUGAGUGGAACUGCGAGUGUAGAGGUGAAAUGCGUAGAUAUUCGCAAGAACACCAGUGGCGAAGGCGGCUCACUGGCCCGAUACUGACGCUGAGGCACGAAAGCGUGGGGAGCAAACAGG